rnacentral:misc_RNA from 1 species
ACCAAAACCCAAAGCUGUGAAGCUAUUGAGAAAGGGUUGUUGCUGCUGCUGAAAGUGUGACAAUCUUCUUUGCAUUGGCAUGGCAAAAGCAGAAGUAGAGAACCCAGACUCUGAUGCAGCUCCAGUAAAGCUUGGACGGGCCAUGACAGCGCUAGGAUGGGUAUGUUGGCCUUCAUAGGUGGUCACAACUAUGCUUGGAUCACUGAAAGAUUUCUUUACUUUCUUCUUCCCAUUACAGGAGGACCUGGGGCACCGAUAGAAACCCCUAGGA